AUUGCUUCUCGGCUCUUUUGAGCUAAGAUCAAGUGUAGUAUCUGUUCUUAUCAGUUUAAUAUCUGAUAUGUCCUUUAUUUGAGGACUACAUAUUAAAUGGAUUUUUAGAACAGGGAGAUAGAAUAGGAGUUUGCUCCAUCCACUCCAUACAUCAACCUGGUAUUUCAGUACUUCUAGAAAUGGUGCAUAUUUC
rnacentral:snRNA from 1 species